CCGCCAUUUGCAACCCGUGUGCGCUUUAUAGUUCGAGCGGGGAGUCUCAUUUCGCGUCCAAAAGAUGCAAGUGUCCUUUGUACAGCUGUAGGCGCUGCCUGAGGGAGAAACAGGAACUUGCUGAGAGGCAAAGUGGUUUUCUCCAUCUUUGGGUGGAAAUUCUAUCUCAGAAUUCAAGUUCAAAGACCUCAGCUCCUGUGGGCUUUCCAGCACUGCAGAGACUGACGUGCUUGAAGCUGUGACCACUGCUCGUCUGAUCAAGAUCAUGCUGGUUUUGUGGUUCAGGGAGUUAUUUGGCUGAUGGGUCUUUCAAAAGAAAAAUUAUUGCAGAGGAACUGAGGCUAACCAUUGUUGAACUGCUGGUGCAUGAGGAGCAGACCUGGGCUAAGGAUGUCUUUCAAGUGUAUUUAUUAGGCAGGAAGUAGGAAUAAGCACGCAGAAGGCUGUGCAGGCUGCCUGCAGAUCAGUGCAUUGAUCACUUUGUCUUCAAAACGCACAUAUCUGUCAAGUUUGACACCGUCUGGCAUCCUAUGUUUCCCUUGUGUUAAUGAUUGCUUACAAAAGCUUAUUAAUGUUAGAUCUGCUGUGGCAGAGGAUGUAGUUUGCAAGCUGUGUAUCCCCAGCCACAAUGGAAAUGUCCCAUUCUGGCUGCUGCUGCUGCUCUGCAUUCUGACACUGUCCUCAAGCUGUGCUUUGGGGAAGAGUUGGUUUUCUCAGAUCUGUGAGGAAACAGCAUUUGUGCAUGGAAGUAUAACCAUUCAAAUAUGGUUGUAUGGGGAAGUUUGAAGACUUUGAUCAUCUUACAGAGUUCUGGAGAAUUACCAAUAAAACAAAAAAACCCCACAGUUUAGGAAGCCUAAUAUUGACAGGAACUCUUACGUUAGUAGUCAUGGUCUUCCAGCUUUGCUUACUGCUUGGUGACAAAUGAGCAGGACCACAUAUUUGGCUGUUUCAUGAUCAGGAACAAUAUGAUUUCUUUUGGCUUUGUGGGGAGUGGAAGGGAGGACUGAAGAUCUCAUUCUGCAGCAAAGCAGAGCAGCAGUUGGAUGGGAACAUCUCCGGCAGGGGUUCAGUAGGCACACAUUAAAACUCAUCUCUCUUCCCCCAUGAGAAAUCUGCAUUUUUACUGAAUUUCGUUAUGGAAAUUGAAUAUAAAUAACGUGGAGGCAUGCAGCCUCCUGCUUCCUUCCUCAGUAUUUGGAUUAGGCAGUAGGCAUUUUCUGUUCUCCCUGAAACACAAGGAGAAUGUUGCUUGGCCAUGGGCUGAAAGCUCCCCAGGUUGUGCAUCAUUUCAUAGCCUUCAUUACCGCAGUGUACUGCUGUGCCUCCCUGCCUUGCUGCUGCACUCCUGCUUCGAGUCAAUGCAACACUUGCACUCUGCUCUAAGGGGUGGUAAGAACAGGGCUGUUAUCCACCCUUCCAACCACGAACCAGGGGAGGGAAGGAGAGAAGGGCAGAGAGAAGAAGCCCAUGGAACCAGUCUGUGGUCCAUCUCCAAACCUGGCAGCCUCACCUCAGCUGUAAAUCUGUAUUCAUUUCAAUUUGCUUGUCAGUUUGUACUAUAGAAAGAAGCAAGGCAGAUCACAGAAUUGUUAAGGUUGGUGAAGUUGGAAAGACCACUAAGACCAUCUAGUCCAACCAGUGCUAAUGCUACCUAGGCUUGGAUUAGACUGGCUCUGAGGA